rnacentral:misc_RNA from 1 species
UUAUAGUCGAAUUUCCCUGCAUUUAAUUUUACUGGAGCAAAUACAUAUGAUCGAACCCCAAUCAAAGUGGUAUUGUUAUUACACUAUUAGAUUAAAAAUUGUAUACCAGCAGCAGCAGCAGCUGGACAAACGUCCAGGUAAUAACAAUAAAAACAAAGGCCUUUUCUUUCACCUCAUUACCAAGAUCUAAGAUCCAUUCAACAUUCUGUGGUUGUAAAAUUCUUACAUAUCCGGCAAAACUCAUAAAACAAAACAAGUGAAAUUCUUCAGCAGGACAUCUGUGAUAUGUUAUUGUCUAUAUUGUUGUGUAGCACCAGAAGUUACAUAACAAACACCAGCUCUUCAACCUUCGGUUUAGCUAUACAGAUCAUCAUCAUCUCCAGCAGCGGUUGCUGAUGCAAAUGGAUCUGAAGCCCCUCCAGCUGCAGCAUUCUCAGUACGAUCUGAAAACCUAAAUUCAGUCCCAAAUCCACGAGAUUGCUGUAGGGUCUGCGCAAAGAGCUGAUACUUCCUGAUGUCUGCAUCGCUAACACUACGGCGGGCAAACUUCAUUGAUUCCUCAAAAUGAGCAGCCUUUAUCUCAGGGACAUCAUCAACAUCAUCUUCUUCCAUGGCCUCAGGGUUCUCUUGCUUUCUUUUCUCCCUCUCAAUAUCCUGUCAUUCCUCAAACCGUUAAAUGAAAAUACCACAGACCACAUAAGCAGAUUAUUAUCAGACCCAAUGGCAGAACUACCCGAUGAAAAUAUUUCACAAGAAAUAAAAAGCAAAGUUCAGGCUUAAUGAAGGCAAAGAAACUUGAGAAAAAAAACACUACUGAACUUAUUUAUUAAUAUACUGAAUCACACAGAAACAAACAGAUGCAUACAUGUGUUCAUCAAUCAAUGAGUUCACAGGAAUUGAACUUCAGCAUCUGCAACAAAAACAAGCUACUUCCAAGGAAAGUCUAUUACCUUCUCAAUAUUUUCUCUAAUAGCAUA